UUGGGUGGGAGGAGGAGCGAGGUAGCGGGGGCGUGGCUUAGGGGAGAGGAACCAAACUGAUUGGCCUGGGGGAGGUGGGGCGGGGCUGUGGCUGGGAGGAGUGGGGCGGGCACUCUAACGCGACCCAGCUGGACGAGUCGGGGCCGCCAAUGAGACGGAGCGAUUGGCUCUUUCUAAGAGAGCAGGGAGGAGGGGCGGGGCGGGGCGUCAAGGGAGGCGGGACCGGUUACUACUAAUUGUGUUCGGCAGCACUGGUAGCCAGGGGAAGGCGGGGCUAGAUACGAUAGAGAGAGACCUUACUGAACUGAAAAAAGUGCGGGCGGGGUAGAGGGAGGAGGGGGACACAUCCAAGCUAUUUAAAGACGCCCGACUGGCCUGGAGGGGCGGGGCCACCAUGAGAGAGGCCGUCCUGAUUGGGCUGAGAAAGGGGCGGAGAGAAACAAAACAGAUUGCACGCCCUCACCUAAAACACCGCUAGGCAGGACCUGGUGGGGAGCAGCAUUGCUUGGAAGAGACAGGGCUGCAGAAAGUAGAAACAGUCCAGAUGAGACUGCACUGGGGCGGGAACUAGAGAUGGAGGACUUUUCCGCGCAAGGGGGACAGGCUGGACUGAAAGAGGACACGGGAAGAACAAAGACUUAGACUCGAAGCCCUCGGAUGGUGGCCCUUGCAUGCUUCAGUUCAUGAUGUUGGAGACUAUUUCCCCACCCUUGCGGAAAAACCUUCUCUCUGUGCCAUACAGCUACUGCCAGGGAUGGAGGAUGGCUGGAAUUGGCAACUAAAGACUGCCCUCCUACCUUCUUCAGUGUGUCCUCAGCAAUAUGGAGUUAAAACCAGUCUUGCUCUGUCCCCAGGCUGGAGUGCAGUGGCAUGAUCUUGGCUCACUGCAACCUCCGCCUCACGGGUUCCAGCGAUUCUCCUGCCUCAGUCUCCUGAGUAGCUGGGACUACAGGUAUGUACUAUGAAUUUCUUUAAUCAAGGAGUGGAAUAUUCAUGAAGAUUCCUAGAAAAAGGAGAUUUUUGAGAACUGUGGUGCCACCCACUUUUACACCAAAUAUGGGUGUUCCUGUAACCGUCCUGGUGCUGGUGGGUGUGUGUUUAUGUUAAUGAGCAUAUAACGAGGUCCUAGGUGAGACCUAGGUCAUAUGUAGGGCCUUGUUGGGUCCAAUGUGUCUUAGCCAGGUUGGUCCACACCUAGGGUUUUCAAGAGUCUUAUCAGCCCCCACCUGCUGCAACUAUUUCAACAGUUUCCUUUUGCUAGUCAUGUGAAACUGCUGCCUGGAAUUUUCUAUUCUCCUGUGACUACCCUGUGUUAUU